GUCUUGCUGCGGCUCUCGUCGAGGGCAACAUAUCCUCGCGGCCUUAAUUCACUCGAAGGGAGCUGUCCCUGUCUGGGCUCGAGGGCCCGGGUAUAUGGCGCCCACCUGGUUAUCCAGGCUCGAGAGGAUCAAACCGACUCUCACGGCUCUCGCGGCGCCGCC
rfam:Brevundimonas sp. Leaf363 contig_2, whole genome shotgun sequence.